rnacentral:lncRNA from 1 species
AUGUUUUUAACAGAAUGUGACCUCACUGGGAUACCAGAGAAGACAAUAAGUAGAUCGAGUCCAGUUCUUCAUCCGAGUCCUCAAAGCAGCAGCGCAAGAACCGGGGUAGUGGCAAACCUAGUGAAACCACCAGACAGUGGCCCUCUGGACCUCUUCACAGACUCACUUGGUAAAGGUGCGUGAUAGAUAAGCUGCCAACGCUGUCCAAAUUAAAGCAAAUGUUUCCUCUGAAGAGGCUUCUAGAAACAAGCAUAUUAUCUGAAGUAGGAGUCAGUCACGUGAGGGCGAUUGAAGGUGAUAAAUGUAUUGUUACAACUUUGUUAUUUGUGUUGCAAUAAUACUUCCGGCCUACUCGUGGAUCAGAUGCUGGGUACCGUGCAAUAAGAAACAGAUUUUAUAUGCUAAACAGCAAAUGAUAUAGACAUGAGACAGUAAAUAAAACAAAUAUGAUGAAUUAUUCA